GGUGAAACUCCAUCUCUCCUAAAAAUACAAAAAUUAGCUGGGCAUGGUGGCUCAUGCCUGUAAUCUCAGCACACUUUGGGAGGCCAAGGCGGGUGGAUCGCCUGAGGUCAGGAGUUUGAGACCA